CGUCCUCACAGCGCAUGUGUCUGCCGCCCUGCCUGUGCCAGGAGGCAGGAUGGUGACCCUAUUUUCGAAGCAACUCAGAGCGCUUGCGCCGACCCCGCCUCCCGCAGCCUUUGUGCGGAAAGGAGGACGUCGCGCCUGCGCAGCGGGUGGUGGGCGUCGCGUCCCCUCAGGAAUCAUGGAAUUGGCCGAGCAUUAUAGAAAGAGGAGACAGCUGAACCACGACUAUUUUGAGUCUGGUGGAAAACAUUCCAGAAAAGAAGAAGAGUAUGUAAUUUGAGCAAAUAAGUUGUACCCUCAGAAGGCACAUUUCUGUCGUGCUGUCAUGCCCAGUAAAAUGGCUGGUUUGUUUUGUGUCUCAAGAGAGACCAGGUUGUUUUUUCACUUAGGUCUCUGAGUCUGAGUCAAAAUAGUCCUGCUUCCUAAGCAUUUUUCAGGAGAGCAGAUUUACACACCUGUGGCCCCCUGGAUCUGAAAGUGCCACUGGGUUCGUGAUGCCUCUGGGUGCACGGUUCUCUGCCUUCAUCUUUUGGAGAUUGGAAUAGCUGCUGGGAGUGGUGGAGAAUGGAAAGAAAGCCCUGCUGAUCCUGAGAGGGGCGACCCGGUAUAUGGACCCGGUAUAUGGCAAAGUCCUUCACACGGCCCGGCUGCCAACCACUACACUCCUCUGUUCUGCGAGACUGACUCUUUUUCAUCCUUAGCUCACGACUUAAAAGUCACUUGCUCAGAAAGGCCUCGUGUGAACACCCCAUCUAACACAGCACCCCUGGCAUUUUGGAACGGAUGGAUCAGUUUGACCCCAGCUGCUAAUUAGUCUUAACAUCACAAAAAGAAAGACAAUCAGACAUUACAUGCGUCUGAAAGUCAUGUGAUAGGAUUAUCACAGACACACCUAUGAAGUAUUUUUGUCAAAAAAUUGAACCUGAGUCUGAUCAAGCCAUUAGAUCCAAUGGAGGUAAAAAAAAAAAAAAAAAAUCAGAAGGUAGAGGAAGAUGUUAAGUGAAAACUGAGGUUGCAGUUAGCAAAACUCAGUCUGGGGAAUUCUACCAGAAUUCAUGACCUUGUUUCCUCAAAAAAAAAAAAAAAAAGAAGGCAACAAAGACUUUUAAUGUGCAGUGUUUAUUGGAUUUGAUUUGGGUCCAGUUUACACAAUCAUAAAAACUCAUCUAUGAUAAUUAGAUACUUUCAGUAUUAACUGGAUAUUUGAUGAUAUUAGCAAAUUGAGGGCAAUGAUAUGUUGCUUACGUUUUAUUAAAAGUACACCUUGAAGAUACAUCUAAAGCAUUUAUGAGUGAGACUAUGAUAUUUGUGGCAGGAGGUUGAGUUGGGGGUCAGUAGAAAAGUACCAGUGAGUAUAAAUUUCACACUCUGCAUAUUUUAAUCUUUGUAUACAUUAUGCCUGCUAACAUAAUCAGUGCUCAAUAAAUAUUUAUAAAAUUAA